CAACCGGAAACCGGUGCCAUCUUGGAGUUGGCUUCCCACACAGGGGACCCUCUGACUGAACCAUACAAAGCAAGAGAAAUUUAUUGUUCCAGCGCUCUGGGGUCGCCCUGCACCCAAAGGAGAGGCAGCGACUCCAGGCAGGCCUAUGUCACCUGCCUUGAAGAUUCUCUUCGGCCGGGGCUGGAGGACCUGAGUUUAAGUUCCCUGAAUUCAACUGAGAACACGGAUACAUCCUUCUGAUCACAUCCCAUUCGAUGGAAUAAGCUAGCAUAAUCUAUCCAUAGCUACAGACUUCAAAGACUACAAGGAUACAGGCGUUGUCAUCCUGCCUCCUCAGUCCAGCUAAUAUUUAAACUAGAAAAGAAGGAGUUGGUUCGUGUGAUUCUGAAGGAAUCUGUUCCAAGAUCUGCAGGGCAAGUUGGCUGAAAAGACGCCGGAGAGCCAAUGGUACCUUCCUGCUCUGAAGAAAGGCAUGCUCAAGGAGACACAGCCAAUGCUUUCGUCUGAAUCCAAAGGCAGGAGAAAGUUGAUAUCGUAGUACACGGAUGAUGUCAUGAGUCGUCUCACAUAGGGAGUCAGUCUCAACCAUUUUAUUCUCUCCAAAUAGUCAACAGAUUAGGCAAAUCCUACCCAUGCUAAUAAUAGCAUUAGUAAUCAUUAUAAGUCACCUACAAAAAGGGGGUUCUUCCUUAACUAGUAUGCAGAUUUGCAUAUGACUCUCAUGUUUAUAAAAACUAUUCUUGAGGAUACACCCCAAAUAAUGUUUGACCAAGUAGCUAAAUACAUGCACCCCAAGCAAGUGGGCACUAAUGAUCAGAUCUAGAAACCUAAGAUAAAAAAAAAAAUGGAAGUGUCAAAUAUUUUUCCAACACUAAGCAAGAGCAUGGAAGAGCAGAUUUUCUGACAUCUGUGGUUCAUAGAAGCCCUUGUAUGACCUUUAUAUUACUUUAUUCUCUCAGAUCAACAAAGUAAGACCAUUUGGUCAUGUUCUAUAGACAUGAAAAAAAAAAAAAAAAAAAACCAGCAACGGUCUCUUCAGACAGUCUUAAUAAUCACUGAAAC